GAGUUUGAUCCUGGCUCAGGAUGAACGCUGGCGGCGUGCCUAACACAUGCAAGUCGAACGAAGCGAUUUGGAAGAAGUUUUCGGAUGGAAUCCAAAUUGACUGAGUGGCGGACGGGUGAGUAACGCGUGGGUAACCUGCCUCACACUGGGGGACAACAGCUGGAAACGGCUGCUAAUACCGCAUAAGCGCACAGCUUCGCAUGAAGCAGUGUGAAAAACUCCGGUGGUGUGAGAUGGACCCGCGUCUGAUUAGCUAGUUGGUAAGGUAACGGCUUACCAAGGCGACGAUCAGUAGCCGACCUGAGA
rnacentral:rRNA from 1 species